rnacentral:rRNA from 1 species
UACGGGGGGGGGCAAGCGUUGUUCGGAAUUACCGGGCGUAAAGGGCUCGUAGGCGGCCAACUAAGUCAGACGUGAAAUCCCUCGGCUUAACCGGGGAACUGCGUCUGAUACUGGAUGGCUUGAAUCCGGGAGAGGGAUGCGGAAUUCCAGGUGUAGCGGUGAAAUGCGUAGAUAUCUGGAGGAACACCGGUGGCGAAGGCGGCAUCCUGGACCGGCAUUGACGCUGAGGAGCGAAAGCCAGGGGAGCAAACGGG